UGCAAGUCGAACGCGGUUAGUAGCAAUACUAACUGAGUGGCGAACGGGUGAGUAACGCGUGGGUGACCUACCUCCGAGUGGGGGAUAACGUCCCGAAAGGGACGCUAAUACCGCAUGACAUCCUGCCCUUGAACGGGUGGAGAUCAAAGCUGGGGAUCGCAAGACCCGGCGCUUGAAGAGGGGCCCGCGUCCGAUUAGCUAGUUGGUGAGGUAACGGCUCACCAAGGCGACGAUCGGUAUCCGGCCUGAGAGGGCGGACGGACACACUGGGACUGAGACACGGCCCAGACUCCUACGGGAGGCAGCAGUGGGGAAUUGUUCACAAUGGGCGCAAGCCUGAUGACGCAAUGCCGCGUGGAGGAUGAAGGUCUUCGGAUUGUAAACUCCUGUUGCCAGGGACGAAUGGCUCCGACCUAACACGUCGGAGAAUGACGGUACCUGGUGAGGAAGCCCCGGCUAACUCUGUGCCAGCAGCCGCGGUAAUACAGAGGGGGCGAGCGUUGUUCGGAAUUACUGGGCGUAAAGGGCGCGUAGGCGGCCUUCUAAGUCGAACGUGAAAUCCCCGGGCUCAACCCGGGAACUGCGUCCGAUACUGGGAGGCUUGAAUCCGGGAGAGGGAUGUGGAAUUCCAGGUGUAGCGGUGAAAUGCGUAGAUAUCUGGAGGAACACCGGUGGCGAAGGCGGCAUCCUGGACCGGUAUUGACGCUGAGGCGCGAAAGCCAGGGGAGCAAACGGGAUUAGAUACCCCGGUAGUCCUGGCCCUAAACGAUGAAUGCUUGGUGUGGCGGGUAUCGAUCCCUGCCGUGCCGAAGCUAACGCAUUAAGCAUUCCGCC
rnacentral:rRNA from 1 species